rnacentral:tRNA from 1 species
GGUGCGAUGGCCGAGUUGGUUAUGGCGCCAGGUUAAGGUCCUGGUGGAGCAAUCCUCCUGGGUUCAAGUCCCAGUCUCAUCA